AUUUGAAGUGGAUUUGAGAUUUAGUGGUUUGUGGUGUUCGAACUCUCGAUAAUGUUGGAUAACAGUUGAUGUGUUAUUUAAGAAUCUCUAUUUAUUAUUGUUUUAAUUGGUUUUUGAGAUGGUGUUGGAUUGAUUUUAUUAGAUAUGUUGUGAAAUAUUUGUAGUCAGUUCUGAAAACUUGAUUCAUUAUUAAGGUGAUUGGGUAUUUGAUUAUUAUGGGGAUCCAUGGUGGGAAACUUAUGAAAUUUUUGUUGAAGUUUUCUUUUAUCUAGUAGUAUGUAUGUGCUCAGCUAAUACGGACUAGUUGGAUGUCCUUUAGGGCUUAUUUUAGAAUCUUUUAUUUUUCAUUGCAAAAUGCACAGAUAUGAAUUCCUGCAUUUAAAUGCAUAUUUUUGCCACUAUACGUCAUCCUUUUCCACUUUGAAUUCAAUAAACUGCAUGUUUUUCUGACAUGCAGCCUUAAUUUUCUACCUACUUCAAUACGUUAGCAUGGAAUUAGGCCCAAAAUUAUUUAAAAACAUGUAUAGGACAAUACUACAUUUAACUAGUGCGUGAAAGGGAAACAAUGGGGUCCCCAUUAUGUGGCUUCAAAUCCUAUGUUUUGGGG
rnacentral:misc_RNA from 1 species